GGGGGCGACACGGUUUCGACGGGGAUAUUUGACGGUCGUGUGGCGCGCCGAGGUGCGGUGGCCUCGUUAAACUGCCGCAAAACACUAAUUGCCAACAAUAAUCUGGCACUGGCUGCUUAAUUAAGUAGUCCGUCCCUGCGCAUGCCCUCGCUCGUGGACAGUGUAAGGGGCGUCGUUAAAGCGAGCUGGUCCUUCCAAGUUGUCAGAGCGCGGAAGGAUAAGAACCAUUCUGAACCGGGGCCUGAUGAGCGUGUCCGUUCGCGCUUUAGGCUCCUAAAUUAAAAAACGGACUACGCGCGUAGAAGCACGGUUUGAAGAUCUUCGGACGGGGGUUCAACUCCCCCCGCCUCCACCA
rnacentral:tmRNA from 1 species